GACGAACGCUGGCGGCGUGCUUAACACAUGCAAGUCGAACGGUAAGGCCCCAGCUUGCUGGGGUACACGAGUGGCGAACGGGUGAGUAACACGUGGGUGACCUGCCCCGCACUUCGGGAUAAGCCUGGGAAACUGGGUCUAAUACCGGAUAGGACCGCACCGUGAGGGUGUGGUGGAAAGUUUUUCGGUGUGGGAUGAGCCCGCGGCCUAUCAGCUUGUUGGUGGGGUAAUGGCCUACCAAGGCGGCGACGGGUAGCCGGCCUGAGAGGGUGGACGGCCACAUUGGGACUGAGACACGGCCCAGACUCCUACGGGAGGCAGCAGUGGGGAAUAUUGCACAAUGGGCGGAAGCCUGAUGCAGCGACGCCGCGUGGGGGAUGACGGCCUUCGGGUUGUAAACUCCUUUCACCAUCGACGAAGGUUUUCUGACGGUAGAUGGAGAAGAAGCACCGGCUAACUACGUG
rnacentral:rRNA from 1 species